rnacentral:lncRNA from 1 species
CAAACCCGAAAACAACGAUUUGUGCUCUGCUCCGGCGAUGAUCUGCACCAGCGACUGCUCCGACGACGAUCUGCUCCAGCGACGAUUUUCUUGGCAUUCUCCUCCGACGAGAUUGUGUGCUGGGAACUGAAAGGAUCUCUCCUGCGACCUCCAGCGACGAUCUCCUCUGGAAAUGUUCUCCUCUGGCGGCGCGUUCUCCUCCUUCAGCGAGCUUCUAUGAUUUGGCUUCGAUAUGAAGAUUUGUCGCCACUCAUCUCAUCGCCAUCAUUCAUCUCUGCGCCAUCGUAAGCAACACCGUUGUCGCUAUCUUCUUCGAUCUGGUUUUCAAUCUGGCUCAUCUCCUCGCCGUGGCAAGCAACACCGCUGUUGCUACCUUCAGCAAGCUUCCACAAUUUGGUUUUGCCAUCUCUAUCACUUCUAAUAGGUAACUCUUUGUUCUUUUAGAUCUACUUCAUGCCCUAGUAGGAAGAAACAAAGAAUGCUGGUUCUGUUUUUAUUAUUGUGUAUUUUAACUUUCAUUGAUCUUUUGUGAUGUUGUUGUUGUUAGCUUGUUACUGCUGCAGUUUCUGUUGCGUUGUUAUUUUUCUGCUUCUGAUUUUAUUUAGUUUGAGACCUAAUUUAUUCUAUUGAACUGAUUAAUCUGCAUCAUUUUUCCGAAAUUAGUACAAAGCAUGGCAUGUGUGUAUUUUCUUAUGUAAGUGUUUAAAUGAUAGUUAAAUGCAAUAAUGAAGAGAUAUGAAGCACUGUUAAUCUGUUCUAUGAAUGUUGUAUUAAUGUUUGAAUGAUGUAAGUGUGUGUAUUUUGGCUUUCAAUUUUUAAUUUUCUUGCUGAUGCAGAGGUACAUAUUGCAAAACAAUGACGUCACUCUCUGUGCAGUAGGCAUGGUUAUCAAUUUCUUUAACUUUUCUGCAUUCUUUUCCCCGUGCACCUUAUUACCUCAUUACUUAUUUUCUCCGUGCACCUUAUUAUCGUUGUGCAAAUGCUUACGUGUUGUAUAAUAAGUUUACUUUCUCAACUGUGGCUCUUGUACCCUUGGCAAACUGCUUCAAACAAUCAGAAUCUUUGACAUUGUCGAGAACAAUGAGAACUUUCUUAUUGCUAUGGCUGCUCAUACUAUUCAUGAACCCUGUUGCAUCAGUGGAAAUUCGCUCCCUUAACAUCUCUGACAGAAGCCUUUGAGGUUUCCUAGCUUUUGUAAUUAGAUGGUGUAUCUCUACUAGAUAGCAAUUAUGAUUUCAUUACAUCUGGGACUAUGAAUAAGGAUGACCUUGUUGUAAAGAUGAAAUAAAUUUAGGACAGAAUGAGGAACUCAACUUGAAAUGUGUUACUGAUGCAUUUUUUGCUUCAUGUUGCUAUUUAUUUGUAUAAUGUUGUGUGAUGGUUCGUAUGGUUUUUUGAAUUGUUGAUGCUCGGAGUCCAAACUUAUAUUCUAUUCCUCAUUCCCUUGAAUGAAUGUAGGAAGAAGGAAUCAAUUUGGUGAGCACUCUCAUUGCUUCUUCAAGCCACCAUAGAUUGAAAAACUCAGUGGCCGAAUUCAUUGUUCCACUGCUUAGUGAGUUGUAUCUUUAAACUACUUCUGAUGGUAAUUAUAUUUAGUCUAUCCUUUAAUUAUCAGGUAUAGAGAAAGUGAUUUAAUUAAACUUGACAUAUUGAUAAACGGUGACUGUGUGGAGCCAUUGGCUACGAUUGUCCACAGAGAUAAGGUAAUUAUUUUGUAGCCUAUAUAUGGUUUGGAGAUAAAUAUCUGACCCUCUAGAAAUUUUAAUUAAUAUAAAUUGCUUCUGAAUUUAUAGAUAUAUUAAGGGAUCAAUUAGAUUGGAAAAUAUAAUUGAUGUGUUAAUUUCACUGGCAAUUUUUUGGGUUGGAGAGGGAAAAAAGGAGGGGGAGUUAUCAUUCAUCAACUGCAUUGCAAUUGUUUAGCUACACUGUUCAAGCACUUGAAAGAAAAAAAAAUAUCAAGUGAUCCUAUAAGUUUCUGCACUACAUUUUUAAAGAAUACCUUCAGUAGUUGAAUAUUUUUGAGAUUCCGUUUAAUAAAUUUUGGUGUUCUUGACAUGGUAUUACAUAUUUCAUCGUGAAAUAGUGAUCCUUCAAUAGAACCUCCCAUUUUUGUUCUUUACUUUCUUUUUUCUUAAUUUUAAUUCUUCCUUUUUUUCAAUUUUUCGUUUCUUCCGUUUACCUUUUUUUUAUUUUAUUGUCGGCUUUUACUUUAUCAAUUGUUUAGUUGUAUUUUAUUUUAUUUACUAGUUGUCUCAUUCGAAUUCUUUUUACUGUGAUGUUGAGGAUUCACAUUUUUCUUUUUUUUUUUAUUAUUUAUGCAGAAGAACAGGGAUAAAAAACUUUUUUUUGACUUUGAUCAUGAGAUUGAGAGGACUUUAAAAAAACGUUUAUAACAGACUAAAACUUAUAAAAUUGCUGAAAAUCUCAAAAAUAAUUUUAAAAACGAAGCUAAAAAAAAUUACUAUAGAACUAAACAACAAUAAUGUUAUCAUUUCUAAUGUUUCUAAUAAUUCUAACACUACAAAAAAAAAAUAGUUUAAAAUGAUAUUUACAUUACAACAAUUUUAAAAAAUUGCCAUAAUAUUAUAGUAUUUUUUGAUGCUGCCAUAAUUAAUUAGCAUAAAAUGGCGGCAUUCGGUGAUUUUGGCGGUUAAAACCGCCAUUAUCGGAGCUGAUUGUUAAAAUUAAAAAGGGCCUAAACGAAGGAAAACCCAUAAGGCUUGGAAAACCCAAAUAUCUUAAAUCGAAUGUGUCCCAAGAAGGAAAACCCUAACGCGCGUUGCCACCAUUGUCAAACCCGAAAACAACGAUUUGUGCUCUGCUCCGGCGAUGAUCUGCACCAGCGACUGCUCCGACGACGAUCUGCUCCAGCGACGAUUUUCUUGGCAUUCUCCUCCGACGAGAUUGUGUGCUGGGAACUGAAAGGAUCUCUCCUGCGACCUCCAGCGACGAUCUCCUCUGGAAAUGUUCUCCUCUGGCGGCGCGUUCUCCUCCUUCAGCGAGCUUCUAUGAUUUGGCUUCGAUAUGAAGAUUUGUCGCCACUCAUCUCAUCGCCAUCAUUCAUCUCUGCGCCAUCGUAAGCAACACCG